CAGCCGUAAACUAUGCUCGCUAGGUGUCAGGCAUGGCGCGACCGUGUCUGGUGCCGCAGGGAAGCCGUGAAGCGAGCCACCUGGGAAGUACGGCCGCAAGGCUGAAACUUAAGGAUUGGCGGGGAGCACAACAACGGGUGGAGCCUGCGGUUUAAUUGGACUCAACGCCGGACAACUCACCGGGAACGACAGCAAUAUGUAGGCCAGGCUGAAGACCUUGCCUGAAUCGCUGAGAGGUGGUGCAUGGCGUAGACGUCU
rnacentral:rRNA from 1 species